rnacentral:lncRNA from 1 species
GGAAACCCAAGGAAACGCUUCCAGCUGGAGUGCUCGGAGGUGUAGGACAUUGUUCUCUUCCCUUCCCGGGUCCUGUUGUUUUAGAACCUAAUCAAUAAAAAUUAAGCUGGUGCCUGUGGGUCCUUGUCCUGUCUCCAUCCAGGCCACUUUCAUAGGUUGCCUCAUUUUACUUUUUCAGUACUAGGGAGAAGAGUGGUCUUCCCAUGGCGCGGAUGAGGAGACUAAGGCCUGGAAUGUAUGUGGUACAGAGGUUGAGACCACGUCAGCCUGCGCCGUCUUCAUCAGGCCCUCUGACACAACAUUAAGGGCAUGGCAAGGAGUCAGUUGCUCCGUGACCCUAAACCUCAUCCCUCUGGAGGCUUCAUCUCUGCUCUGGCUAAGAAAUGCUCUGACCUUGAAGUGCACAGCAGAGUGAUAUUCUGAGCCAGAGUCCUCCAGAAGAAUGGGUAAGUACAUGCAAAUUGCUGAGUCUCUGUUCAUUGCAUCCAAAACGAAAGUCACCAGCGUGCUGUAUAACUCAAGAAAAUACGAGAGAGAGGGAAAAGCAACAUCACAGUUUGACUACAAGCGGUUUCCAGUAAGUACUGCAGCCGAAAAUCCC